rnacentral:piRNA from 1 species
UCAGAAGUGAUCAUUACAAAUUUGC